UACGUAGGGGGCAAGCGUUGUCCGGAAUCAUUGGGCGUAAAGAGCGUGUAGGCGGUCCGUUAAGUCGGCUGUGAAAGUCCAAGGCUCAACCUUGGGAUGCCGGUCGAUACUGCCGGACUAGAGUUCGGAAGAGGCGAGUGGAAUUCCCGGUGUAGCGGUGAAAUGCGCAGAUAUCGGGAGGAACACCUAUGGCGAAGGCAGCUCGCUGGGACGUUACUGACGCUGAGACGCGAAAGCUAGGGUAGCAAAUGGG
rnacentral:rRNA from 1 species